AUACGAAGGUCCCAAGCGUUAUUCGGAAUCACUGGGCGUAAAGAGUACGUAGGCGGUUUGGUAAGUCAGGUGUGAAAUCCCGAAGCUCAACUUCGGAACUGCAUCCGAUACUGCCAGACUAGAGUAAUGGAGAGGCAGGUGGAAUUCUCGGUGUAGCAGUGAAAUGCGUGGAUAUCGAGAGGAAGACCAAUGGCGAAGGCAGCCUGCUGGACAUUUACUGACGCUGAGGUACGAAGGCUAGGGGAGCGAAAGGGAUUAGAAACCCCUGUAGUCC
rnacentral:rRNA from 1 species